AUGAACUCGGCGUUGAGCUUGGACGAUGGCAGGCUGCUGAUGGGGAUCUGGAAGGCCACGCUCACGAUGGUGAGGCUCGACGCCGAGCUCGCCGGCGCGCGGGUGGUGUACCUGGACGUGUACGACGUGCCGUAUGUCAUCUUUGCCGACCCACCGGAGUACGGCUUCGAGAACGUCGCGCGAGGUUGCUGCGGCACGGAGCACCUUCUUCUCCACCCGUCCUCGAGCCUCCCUCCCCGUCGUUCGUGCCGUCUCGACCCGACCAACAGAGCCGCUGUCGAGGCCGAGCCAAGCAGCACCCUUUUCCCCAGGAAGUGGCAGCGCGGACAGAGCAGUAGGCAGCAACCGAACGCAUCAGCAGCAAGAGCAGGGAUGCGGUGGCGUGAGUGCUGGCUCCGCCGAGUGCACGAUCAGGGAUGCGGUAGCGCGAACGCACCAGCACAUCACGAGCCGAGUGCAAGAGCAGAGCAGGGAUACGGUGGUGCGAGCGCUUGCUCGGCCGUACGCGUGCUCGCCGUGGCUGGGCAAGCACGGAGUGGAGUGGAGGUCAGAGGUGAUUUCGUCGGAGCCGACGAAGAUGAGCUCGCCUCGCCGAGCAACAGAGUGAGUGCCUCAUCCUCGCUGGAUCAGAGCAGCACCCGCAGCCGCAUGACGACGCCGCGCCAUUCAUCACCUGGCCGCACCAGAGCAGCUCCCGCACAACACCAUGCCCGCUGCAGUACCGAGCACGGGCGGGGUACGGGCAGGACACGUGAGUCGGCGGUGGUGGGGAUGGAGCAGCUCGUCAGCCUGGCUUGGCCAACGCCGGCGCGACGCCAUGGCCAGCCCACCAGGUCCUCCAGCGGCAACCUCUUCCCGGAGGCGUCCUUGCAGCGCCGCGGCGCCACGGAGACUUCCAGUGAGCAGCCUCAACAUGAUGGAGACAUUGAUCCUGAAUUCCUUGCUGCACUGCCACCUGAAGAGGUUCUAGCUCAACAACGUGCCCAAUGGUUGCAACAACAGUCUCAAGAGCUUGAAGGACAACCGGUUGAAAUGGACGCUGUAUCAAUUAUUGCAACCUUCCCUUGGGAAAUAAAACGGGAGGAGUUACUCAAUCUUCUGGAAGUUGUCAUGCUUAAUGCUGAGAAUGAAAUAGAUCAAGCUAAGUUGGAAAAUUCAUCUGAGAAACCAUCCAGGCCUGAGAAUUCAACACAAGAUGUCCAAGAGGAUGCCAGUGUUGCUGGAUCAUCUGGAGCGAAGCCCAAUGCCGAGGAUAGUGGUUCGAUGCAAAAUUUGACUGUUUGUGCCAUGAAUGAGCUUCACUUGUAUGAAAAUUCUGAAGCCGACAUGGCGGUUCUAAGAGACGUGCAGGCCUUGAAUUCUCUUGUCACAAUUAACACAUCAUUGGAUGCAUUGUACUUGGAGCUAAGCAGCUGCAUAAGCAAAAUAGAGCUUUCUUCAGAAUAUACAUCAAAUUUGAGUCCAGCUGCUGAAAAUGCAACUAGAGUAUCAACUAAAUGA
rnacentral:rRNA from 1 species